rnacentral:tRNA from 1 species
GGUCCUAUAGCUCAGUUUGUUAGAGUGCCUGAUUAAUAAUCAGGGAGUUUAGGAUUAUGCCCUGGUGGGACCA